rnacentral:rRNA from 1 species
CCUACGGGUGGCAGCAGUGAGGAAUAUUUGUCAAUGGGCGCGAGCCUGAACCAGACAAGUAGCGUGAAGGAUGACUGCCCUACGGGUUGUAAACUUCUUUUAUACAGGACUAAAGUGAGGCACGUGUCCCUUUUUGUAUGUACUUUAUGACUAAGUAUCGGCUAACUCCGUGCCAGCAGCCGCGGUAAUACGGAGGAUCCGAGCGUUAUCCGGAUUUAGUGGGUUUAAGGGGAGCGUAGAUGGGUUGUUAAGUCAGUUGGGAAAGUGUGCGGCUCAACCGUACAAUUGCAAUUGAUACUGGCAGACUUGAGUACAGUUGAGGGAGGCGGAAUUCGUGGUGUAGCAGUGAAAUGCGUAGAUAUCACGAAGAACUCCGAUUGCGAAGGCAGCCUCCUAAACUGCCACUGACAUUGAUGCUCGAAAGUGUGGGGAUCAAACAGGAUUAGAUACCCCUGUAGUC